GUCAAUUUUCUGACAGAAUAUAUCCUGCGAGCUCCGUAUUCCCAUUGGAAGCCUCAAAUAACGGNAWCUANCAAAUGGGCUGNUAAAUGYCGUCAAGYAUGAAGACYCGUCCGUCAAUUUGAUCGACSAAUAACCUUUCGUUGCGUCUAGUACGCUAAAAUAGCGCGCACUUGUUAAUUUGGUCGUCACGUCCUCUAUGGUUCUCAUUGGAUAGUGAGGUCUCAGUAUAUUGKCGUUCAGUGCUUUUNGGAUCUAAGUAAACCCUUAAUUUGCCGGUGCUGGGCNUUUCCACACAAACUAGAGAGUUAACCCAGUCAGUCGGUCUCGUCACUUUCUCAAUAAUACCUUUGUCUGUCAUUGCNUUUAGUUCGUUKUUUAACCGGUCCUGCAANGCUGCAGGUACUCGCCUUGGUGGGCAUACAACAGGAACUGCGUCAGAUUUUAAGUGCAAACUGCACUCCCCUGGGAAUAAACCAAUACCACUAAAUAGUUCCUUGUAGUUAGACAUGACAUUUUGUUUGUUUAAUGACACCUGUUGUUUUUCAAUAGCAUAAGUCAGUUUAAUUAAACCAAGGUCGACCGAAGUCUGCAAGCUUAACAAAGCUGGAUAUUUACUGCCUACUACAUGAAAACACGUGACCACCUCUCUUUCUUUGAACUUGCAAGGCAAAUUGACCUUUCCAUGAACUAGAAUAGGGUCCUUUGUGUAUGAGGAUAGCCUAUCAUCAGAGGGUAGCAAGGGGCCAGU
rnacentral:sRNA from 1 species